AGGGUUUAAUUGAUUAACAAUCGUUUUAGAAGCGGAACUUAGUGGCAUAGAAUGAUUUACAAGGUAUUUUAAAAAGGGUUUGCAUUUUUUACAAUCGUUUUUAAAGGGGUAUUCUAAUA
rnacentral:sRNA from 1 species